rnacentral:rRNA from 1 species
CCUACGGGCGGCAGCAGUAGGGAAUAUUGCUCAAUGGGGGAAACCCUGAAGCAGCAACGCCGCGUGAGGGAUGAAGGUUUUCUGGUUGUAAACUCCUUUUGUUAGGGAAGAUAAUGACGGUAUCUAACGGCUCAGCCCCGGCUAACUCCGUACCAGCCGCCGCGGUCCUACGGAGGGUGCACGCGUUACUCGGAAUCACUGGGCGUAAAGCGCGCGUAGGAGGGAUAGCAAGUCAGAUGUGAAAUCCUAUGGCGUAACCAUAGAACUGCAUUUGAAACUGGUAUUCUAGAGUAUGGGAGAGGUAGGUGGAAUUCUUGGUGUAGGGGUAAAAUCCGUAGAGAUCAAGAGGAAUACUCAUUGCGAAGGCGACCUGCUAGAACAUAACUGACGCUGAGGCGCGAAAGCGUGGGGAGCAAACAGGAUUAGAUACCCGAGUAGUC